AUGACUGACCUUGCGGCGCCGAUGAAUAUGAAUAUGAAGAGGAAGGGUGUUGAGGUGGUGGCCAGCCAUGGAUUCUCCAUCUUCCUUGAUCCUAAGAGGAUCAAACUAGAGCUGCUGCCUCCAUAUGGUAUGGAUGGCAUGAUUCUGGACAUGAUGGAAGAUGACGAACCACCGGCACGUGCUCUAACUCCUACUGCUAGUGCACCAACCAUGGUCCAUGAGAAGGUGAACAUUGUAUCUGGGGGCAAAUCUUCAGAGCCACCAUUCAAGUUCAGUGAAGAACAGGACACUGCUGCAGCGACACCGAUGGACGUCGAGGCAGAAGCCCAACAACACCAGCCAUGCCGGAAUGCUCCUUUCUUUUCGGGUUUCUUCUGA
rnacentral:rRNA from 1 species